ACCUGGGAUAGCUCAGUUGGUACAGCACGAGAUUUUUAAUCUCAGGAUCGCACGUUCAAGCCCCAUGUUGGGCA